rnacentral:rRNA from 1 species
AAUAUUGCACAAUGGGCGCAAGCCUGAUGCAGCAACGCCGCGUGCGCGACGAAGGCCUUCGGGUCGUAAAGCGCCUUUCGGGGAGAUGAGCACGGACAGUAUCCCCGGAAGAAGGAUCUGCUAACUACGUGCCAGCAGCCGCGGUAAAACGUAGGAUCCGAGCGUUAUCCGAAUUCACUGGGCGUAAAGCGCGGGCAGGCGGUGGUCCAAGUCGGACGUGAAAGCUCCCGGCUCAACUGGGAGAGUGCAUUCAAGACUGCCUGGCUAGAGGACGGUAGAGGGGCGCAGAAUUCGGGGUGUAGCGGUGAAAUGUGUAGAGAUCCCGAGGAAUACCAGUGGGGAAGCCGGCGCCCUGGGCCGAACCUGACGCUGAGGCGCGACAGCGUGGGGAGCGAACGGG